UACGUAUGUCCCAAGCGUUAUCCGGAUUUAUUGGGCGUAAAGCGAGCGCAGACGGUUAUUUAAGUCUGAAGUGAAAGCCCUCAGCUCAACUGAGGAAUUGCUUUGGAAACUGAAUAACUUGAGUGCAGUAGAGGAAAGUGGAACUCCAUGUGUAGCGGUGGAAUGCGUAGAUAUAUGGAAGAACACCAGCGGCGAAGGCGGCUUUCUGGACUGUAACUGACGUUGAGGCUCGAAAGUGUGGGUAGCAAACAGG
rnacentral:rRNA from 1 species